GUCGACACUGCCAUUUCAGGGCACGCUCAUUUUCAGGACUUUCGUCCCGGAUUCAGGUGUUCGCACAUAUGCCAUGUUGACUGCCAUGGUCAUUUUACCCUAAAACAGUUGAGAUUACCUGUCCUAAAUGAAUCGCAUACAAACUCAUAUACAGGUCCUUGACUACUUACUUUUCAAAAAUUGAAAAAGUGGCUAAAAAUGGACGAAACGUUUUUGCCAAUUUUAACCCUUUUUCAAAAAUUGAAAAAGUGGUUAAAAAUGGACGAAAAGUAAAGGCCUUACUUUUUUGCUGUUUUUUGGUCAUUUAUGAAAAAUUGAAAAAAUCGGCUAAAAAUGGACGAAAAGUAAAGG